AAGUGAAUUGGGGUCAAAACAAGAAGUUAAAAGUGUGGGGUGUUACAGGUUGUAGCUAUGAUUUGAUUACAGGUACAACUAUUGCUUCGUAUACAGGAAAAAUUCCUAUGUAUACGGCGGAUCUUUCGGCGUGCCCGGGGAAACGUGGUGAUUCGGGGUGUGACAAUUCUGGGUACCCCACGCACCCCAAAGACAUUGCAAAUUGAAAAUUUACUUAUUAGGUAAGUUAAAAAAAUUAUAAUUUAAUUUUUUUGUUUAUCAAUAUACGUACAAAAGAUUUGUCUGUGCCCUUCGCUUCCACCACAGACAUCCAUUUUUUAUUCACAAAUUAUUUUAUCAAAUUUGUCGCACUGCGAAAUUUUUGACGAAUUAAGAGAACAAAAUCGAACUCAAUAAACAAAUUUUGAGGCACAUCAAACAUAAAAUUUUAUUUUUGCGCUAGAAGAUUGAAAAUACUGAUAAAAUUAAAAGCUAAAUUAAAUCAAUUGAUACUUAAAUUUAUUUAAUUUAUUUGUCAUAUAAUUUAUUGCUUAAUUUUUUUGAUAGAUCUACUAAUUUUCUAAAAAAUUAAAUAAAAAAUAAUUUUUAAAUACUUUUAAAAAUACUUUUUUCAAAUAAUUUUUAAAAUUAUUUUUUUGUAUUUUAUAAAAGAAAGAUUAUAAUAUGGUCAAAAGAAAAAAAAAAAGAUGUCUUUAUAUUUUAAAAAUUCUAGCAUGUAAAAAUUUCUAUUCUGCAUCUGGUAUAGUUGUACUUUACAUAAAAUAACAAGUAUGUUAAUUGAUGAAUAUAGUAAGCUAUAUAUAGCAAAUAUUCAUAAUUAUUUGAUUAAAUCUUUCAAAAUAGCAUUAUAAAAGCUUAUUGAAAUUAAAAAACUGAAAUAAGUCCGUGUCAAAGCGUGCCAGUAGGAGGUCAUGUGUAUCUAUCGACACGCAAGCGUACCAUGUGUCGGCAUGGAAGUGUGCCAGUGCAGUAUCGUGUCAGGUAGACACCGGCACGCCCCUGUGCCAUCCCACUUUAAACCUUGAUUGUCAUAUAAAUUAAUAUAUAAUCUUAAUAAUACUAUAUACUAUAUAUAUUAUUUAUUCCUUAUAUGGACAAAUAUACUAUAUAUUUAAAACUAAAUAUCU
rnacentral:lncRNA from 1 species